AACUGCCUUACUUUAACACUAUCAAAUUCAUUUCAUAAUCUGCUAUUUUGGAAAAAAAUGUAUAUAUAUAUAUGAACUAGUUAAAACUAGGUACGUAACUUAUAUUAGUUCAGAUAAGAUCUGACCUAAUCCAAAACAAAGAAAUUAAAAUAACCAGCUUUUGGAAUUACUACUAAUAAUUUAUACCAAGAUAUGCUCUAGCCUCUAGGCAAAGAAAAAAGAAUCAUUAGAAUCCUGAAUAUAUCAUGGGAAUUAUUAAUUAUUGCAUAAAAAACUAAGUUAUUAGACAGUGGGAAGUGAUUCAGUUGUUGAUUUGCCAGCUUGUUGAAAGCCUCCUAUUGUUACU
rnacentral:lncRNA from 1 species